rnacentral:rRNA from 1 species
UACGUAGGGUGCGAGCGUUGUCCGGAAUUACUGGGCGUAAAGAGCUCGUAGGUGGUUUGUCGCGUUGUCCGUGAAAACUCGACAACUCAAUUGUGGGCGUGCGGGCGAUACGGGCAGACUGGAGUACUGCAGGGGAGACUGGAAUUCCUGGUGUAGCGGUGGAAUGCGCAGAUAUCAGGAGGAACACCGGUGGGCGAAGGCGGUUCUCUGGGCCUUACCUGACGCU